CUAGAGUGCGGGCCAAUGAGGGGGGUGGCGGCGCCAUCAGUGUGGGCUGUGCUGUGGCUGGAAGUUACUGUGCGGCGGCGGCUAAGAAGGCGGCUCUGGUGGCGGCGGCGGUGGCUGAGGCGGUGGCUGAGGCAGCGACGGAGGAAACAGAAGAUGGCAGAUUUUUUGAAAGGCCUGCCUGUCUACAACAAAAGCAAUUUUAGUCGAUUUCACGCUGACUCUGUGUGCAAAGCUUCGAACCGCCGUCCCUCAGUCUACCUGCCCACGCGGGAGUACCCGUCGGAACAGAUCAUUGUGACAGAAAAGACAAACAUCCUUUUGCGCUACCUGCAUCAGCAAUGGGACAAGAAGAACGCCGCCAAGAAGAGAGACCAGGAACAAGUGGACCUUGAGGGUGAAAGCUCGGCGCCCCCCCGCAAGGUCGCCCGGACCGACAGCCCGGACAUGCACGAGGACACUUAAGACUCUCAGUCCCCCUCAGGCGCCUCCUGUCUUGUCUGCUCCUCGCCCACCCGCCUUGUAACCCCCUUUGUGCCCCUACAGUCCCCCAGUUCUCUUCCGGAAAAACCAGAGCACGUGUGCAAGGGCCGGCUGCAUGCGCGGGAGCCCCCUCUCUGCUCCUGCUCUCCAGUCCGGGCCUUAAAGACUUGGCUGGGACCUAUUUCGUGGCCAGGCUCUGCUCUGAAUGUGCGCCAGGCGGAGAAGUCGGCAUUUCCGGAUCUCUCUCUUAAGUCAUUUUAUCAUGGACUAGCGUGUGCUCCGUGUCCACCCCAAUAAAAGGAUCUUUCCUAUUCGACCUCGCGUCUUGGCUCCGUGUGCCUCGGCCCCAGAGGACGGAGCCACUGAGAGUUGCCUCAUCACCGCCAAGAGGAGCCAAGAAGGGCCGCCGCAUGCUCGGGCCCUGGGACCCCCUGGAUUCUCUCAUGGGCCUGCUGUGGCCGCCGUGCUCAGAGCCAAGACCUGCCUGGAGCCGCCCCGAUGCCUCGCCGUCAAGGUGUCCCGGAGGACCAGGACGCUCCUGAGAGAUGGUCCAUGUCACCAAGGACAUAACUGCGGUCAGCCCCACACCCUGGAUGUCUUGAGUCAGGGUGGCCUGCCCACCAACCACUGUGGAGACAACCCAGGUGGCGUGGCCUUGAGUGCCCCCGGUUCGGAGACGAGGCACGUGGAGCUCCGAGGAGCACUGAGCCCCGGGGCUGUCGGUCAGCAAGUCACACAGCCCCUCCUCGGGCUGGCAGCUGGGCUGGGUUUGGGCCUGAGCCUGGAGCCGUGGAGGGGAUUCAGGCUCCAGGCAGAAGGCUUGAGGCCAAGCGGGGGAACACUGCUUCUCCCCCCACCCCACACCAGCCCCAGGUGGGCCAUGGCCCGGGAGCUGAGUGCUACAGCCUUGAGGGUGGGGCGGGGUUGGGCCGUGGAGCUGGAAGAAAUGCCAACCCAAGUAUCACUGCGGAGGCCCCUGCCUGAGCCAGACUGCUCCGGCUGCGGCUGCCAGGUGCUGCCCACGGUGGAAGGUUCCAGGGUUCACCACCCAGCUGUGCCCUGGGGGCCAAGGGGCUUUUCCUCCCGGCUUCGGGUGGCAUUUACACCUGUGUUGAGUCUCUGUGGUCACGAGGCGGGUGCUCACAAAAUGCAAGCUUGAUCUUGGUGGUGCUGUGGUGGGCACAGGUCCCAGAGGCCCCCAGUCCCAGGGGGUUAGUCUGACCCCAGGCAGGCACAUGGUGUCCGUGAUGAUCAGUGAAUGCACUUCAGCUCCAACGUCCACAGGACAGUGGGAGCCAGUGGUACCCCUGCCCUCGCCUCUGUGGCAUCGGUGUCCCCGUGAGGAACUGGGUUCAUCUGUCAGUGCCAUCCAUGGCUUGGGCAGGGGUCCAGUGGCCAUGGCCCACCUAGGCCUCCCUGUGGUCUCCCCGUGCCAGCCUCUGCCCACCUCCCCUGCCUCUGGGACCUCCCCUUAGUCUUCUCCUUCAGACACCAAACUCUGCCUUCCCACACCUCUGUGCCUUUGCACAGGCUGCUCUCUGCCUCCAGUGACCCCUGGUUUCUCUGCAAAGUGGCCCUGACUCACACUGGCUCCCUCCUGGUGGUCCUCAGCCAUGGGACAGGGCCCAUCAGGCUCUGAGCCUUGGGCUGUGGACAUGCUUGAGGGUGGGAGGGGUCGUGUCCCGUCCCUGAACACACAACAGAACCCCAGCAGCUUGGGUCUGACGGCAGUCCCAUGGUGGGGCAUCCUGGCCACUCCCCAAUGGCACCCCAAAAGGCCCAUCCCCUCAACACUGAGUCUUGGGUGCCAGGUGCCUUCUGGUUUUCAUAACCCAAGUUCCUUUCACUGCCCUGAUGCCUCACAUGGCAGCCUGGAAGGCAGUUGUGCCAGAAAGUGCGGCCUAGAGGACUGUGUCCCCUCUCCCCCUGCAGGGCCCAGGACCCAGGCCUGGCACCUGAACUGUGGAGCCUUUUCAACACUUUGAGAUGUCUUCCUUUGUCUAGGAUGUUGAAGCCAGGGCCUCAGGCUCUGCGGUUCCUCCCAUGGGCCCCCAGGCCUGGAGUCGGCCCCCAAAUCUGGGCCGUCUCAGAGUUGGUGCAGUCUGGAGUUUUCCAUCUGUGGCCUCAAGACCCAGUUCUUAGGAGGAGGGCCCCAAGAGUCACAGGAUGGGAGGGGCACCCACCCCAGGCCUGCUCAGUCCCCAAAAAGCCGGCGCCAACCACAAGUCACUGGGCUCCCUGAUGGCCUCCCUUCCACUGCUCUGUCCUCGGGCACUGUUGAAAUAUACUUUUUAUUGCAUUUCUGCCGUUUUACAAAAAUAUGACAAAAUAAAUUAAAAACAAAUAAA